rnacentral:lncRNA from 1 species
GCCGUGUCCUUUCCGCGGUCCGCCCAGUUGCCGGCAUGCCUGUCUCCGAGCUCCGCACAAGAGACGGGAGAACGCCGGGGAACGGGAGGAGCCCGAAGUUGCGGAUCCCACGAGGAAGCGUCCUGCACUUCCUGGUGACAAGGCAGACUCCCAGAAGCACCAGCAACAGCAGCAUGACAGCAGCAAAUGCACUCCCGAGGGAAGCACCCGUCUGUGAUAAGGAGGCUGCGACCACAGCUUCCUCCAUCUCCAAGAUCAGCGACUUCAUGUUGGUGCCGUUCUUGACCUGAUCGCCCUCGUUGUCGUAGAUCAAGGAGUCAUCCAGCAUCAGCCUCCCAUCACUGUCAACCAGGUCCCUGCGGCCACGCUUUAAGUGACAGAGCCUGUUUGCUGUAGGGAAAACAAAUCCAAAGCAGAAGCAGAGGACAGCACUGCAAGCAAAUUAUUUCGGGAAUGAGUGGUGGUACAAUUAUGUGAGACAGCAGAAGAGGACGUGGAGCUGCCCUGCCUUGGCGAGGACAAGAGAAAAUGGAGAAGGAAGUCUCUAUGUCUAAUAUUCAUUCUCACCUCUGAACUUGGCCUGGGUCUUGAACUCAAUAACCAGUCGGCCAUCCUCACGGAUGUAGAUUCUGAUUAUCUGCAGCCGGGCUGAGAGGACACUGUCCGUCUGAAUCCCUGUGUGGUACAGCAAGAACAAAGUCACUGGGGAGAACACGUGGCACAGCAGUCCUCAGGUGGUGUCUGUCAGCCCUUGGUAGCUCCAGAAGCAUCUGAGAGAGCUCCAAAAAGGCACAGUUUGACUGAGAUCAUCCUCCAGGUGAGUCAGCUGUACGCUUCCAGGUAUUGUGGGAAAGAAAAAUAAGUGAGCUGAAAAUAGAAGACUCACAGGCAAAGGAUAAACUGUAAAUAUACACAGUGAUGUCAGGUCUUGGAUGUCACCGGCAGCGGUGGACAGGCACAGUAUGGGACCCACCACUGGCAGUACUGUGGUUUUAACAAGAAAGGGGCUAUGAUGUGAAAAAAUCAACCUGUAAGAGCUAGGAGGCUGAGGAUCACAACUGCAGUUCCCACGUGGAAUUCAGCGGAAAGCACUGGAGAAGCCAUGCCAAAUGUCCCAUGGGAAGCAACCUCUGCCUGGAUGCGGAGGCUCCAAUGAACACAUAGCUCUUUUCCUGCAGCAUCUCAGUGAUGACUGUUUCCAUUAACAGACAUCAGGGGAAAUGACAACUCCCUUACUAAGCUUUCACAAAUGCAAGCACAACUGGACUGACACUGCAUGCUGCCCAGACUCAGGACUGCAGUGACAGUCAAGAAACUAAGAAAAAGGGAAAACUGAGAAGAAAACAAUACUCCUGUACACUCUCAAGUGCCUUGGACGUACCUGUCCUCCAGAGAACAGUGUCGUAGAAAAAGGAGAACUCCAUCUCUGUGUGAUGCUCAAGAGAAGCCCAGCCUCUCGGCGCUGUCACAUAAAUAUAGGACACAUAGAGGGGGACGUGGACUGUUAGGAAGGACUGAGCAGAGUCCCGUACCUGUCAACAGAACCCAAGCAGGUGAUUAUGCACUCUUCACAGGAGAGACACUGGCUUGGACUUGCAGCACCCUCUUUGUUCACAUUCUGCUCUGCAAAUGGGGAAAAAAGCCACAGUGUCUGUAACAAAAGACUCCUAUUUAGUAGAGGUGAGAUGAGACCAAGCACACUGGUGCAGUCAGGGGUAAAUCUUUUUCCCUUCCUUUUAAUGCCUGAACUAUUCACUGCAGGAAUAAAACAUCUGCAUCCACGUUACAGACUGCAGCCUAAAGGGAUGAGACACAAACACAACUGGGGAUGGCAGCAUGGAGUCCUGCCUGCCAUGCACUACUGUAGCUUCCUUGGUACCCCUGUGUCACAUAAGCUCUGUGGCGCAGAUGUGGCCAGACUGGGGAAUGCUACUCUCACACAGUAGAAAUGUUCUAAAAAAACUCUGUAAAUGUGAGUGUUUUCCAGGCUGCUCCCACUAACUGAAUGACUAUCAAGCAAGCAAUGGUACUUGACUGCUGAGAGCAGAAUUUUAGAAAGGGCUCAAAAGAGCUCCCAGGUUCACUGCUCCCACUGUGGAUCCAAAAUUAAGCAGGCCCUUCUGACUGUGGGAACCCUCACCAGGCUUCUAGAAAGAGGGAGAAAGCUUGAGUCCCGGAUCAGCAACAAGUGUAUGCAUCACCCUUUUUGGCAGACCUCCUGAUAUGUGGAUUUGAACAUCUGUGAUGGAUGUAAAAUGAAAACGCCUACAGUGUUUCUGGGAAAUCAGAGGCAUGCAAGUUGUUCCACAGUCACUCCAAU